rnacentral:tRNA from 1 species
GCCAAUAUGGCUCAGUGGUUGAGCAUCGGACUAUGAAUCAGGAGAUUGAGGUUCAAUUCCCAGUCAGGGCA